rfam:Neolentinus lepideus HHB14362 ss-1 unplaced genomic scaffold NEOLEscaffold_27, whole genome shotgun sequence.
GCCCCCGUUGUCUAAUGGUUAUGACGUCAGACUUCUAUAUUAUUGAUGGCAUCUGGAGGUUGCGAGUUCGAGUCUCGCCGGGGGCU